rnacentral:lncRNA from 1 species
CCGUUCAUGCCUGCUUCCUUGUCUUGCUUCCUUCUCAUUGUGUCCCCUGUCACCCCACUUUUUCCAUCCCUAGCCAUUAGUUUCCUGAUUAGUCUGCACUUUCUGCUCCAUUUACGGGUAAGUGACCGUCUCUCAAAUACUCUCAACUCCAGCUUUGCCAUGUGCCCAGUUUUCUUGCCUAACUGGUCAGCAGGCCAUCUGGAACUGGGAAGAAUAUGCUGUUAGAAGCCGUGAGGUAGAAUGAGGUCACUCAGCAGGUGAUCAAAAGGAAAAUAGCCACAGGGCUCCCGAUAAAGCCAAAAAGGGGAAGAAGACUGAUAUAACCAGACUGAGCUUCCAGCUAAAGAGGAAGGCGAUGAGCACGGCCACAAAGAUGUUAGUGAAGGAAUUGACCAUCAUCCCAACUUGAGAGCCAGUAGCCUGCAAAUCAAAAGGCUCUCUCACAGACCUGGGAUUAGCCAUUUUGCCAGUGAGCCCUAACGUGGAUCGUCUGGUCUCCCCGCAGCUGGACUGCAUGUGCGUCACCAAGUGCAGCUUUUCAUAGGAAUUGAAGUCAGACUUGCAUGUUUGCGAGCAAGGUCCCACUCAGACCCUCUCCCUGAUGGAAUGGCAGCUGGGGAGGUCAGUAAAUCCCGAUCUUGUCCUCCAUCCCAGACCAAUACCAGAAGGAUGGCCAGCAAACAAGCCAUAGACUNNNNNNNNNNNNNNNNNNNNNNNNNNNNNNNNNNNNNNNNNNNNNNNNNAAGUGCUUGCUGACAGGAGCCUGAUAUAGCUGUCUCCUGAGAGGUCCUGCCAGUGCCUGACAAAUACAGAAGUGGAUGCUCACAGCCAUUGGACUGAGAACAGAGUCUCCAAUGAAAGGAGCUAGAGAAAGGACCCAAGGAGCUGAAGGGGUUUGCAUAGGAGGAACAACAAUAUGAACUAACUAGCACUCUCAGAGUUCCCAGGGACUAAACCACCAACCAACCAUGAGUGCACAUGGUGGGACUCAUGGCUCCAGAUGCAUAUAUAUAGCAGAGGAUUGCCUUGUUGGUCAUCAAUGGGAGGAGAGGCCCUUGGUCUUGUGAAGGCUCUAUGCCCCAGUGUAGGGGAAUGCCAGGGCCAGGAAGGGGGAGUGGGUGGGUUGGUGAGCAGAGGGAGGGGGAAGGGAAAGGGGGUUUUCAGAGGGGAAACCAGUAAAGGGGAUAACAUUUGCAAUGUAAAUAAGAAAAUAUCUAAUAAAAAAGAUGAUGUUAAUGGCUGAUAUUUGCACAUGACACUUUAUGCAAAAUAAAUGUUAAUAAAACAUGAAAAGAUAAAAAUUAAAAAUAAAUGGCUAGAGAUGUUUCUACCCA